rnacentral:rRNA from 1 species
UACAUGGGGUGCAAACGUUGCUCGGAAUUAUUGGGCGUAAAGCGCGCGUAGGCGGUUAUCUAAGUCGGAUGUGAAAGCCCUCGGCUUAACUGAGGAAGUGCACCCGAAACUGGAUAGCUAGAGUACGAAAGAGGGUCGCGGAAUUCCCGGUGUAGAGGUGAAAUUCGUAGAUAUCUGGAGGAACACCGGUGGCGAAGGCGGCAUCCUGGACCGGCAUUGACGCUGAGGCGCGAAAGCCAGGGGAGCAAACGGG